AUGACCAAAAUAGAACAUGCCACAAACUACACAUACCUCGGGCUGAAGAUGAGUGCAACUGGUAAACUAAAUUUGGCUGUGAAUGAACUGAAAGAGAAAGCGAGAAGGGCCUUUUAUGCCAUCAAAAAAUCUAUCCAAAUUGAAAUACCAAUUCGAAUCUGGCUCAAAAUAUUCCAAUCAGUCAUUGAACCUAUUGCAUUAUAUGGCAGUGAAGUGUGGGGUCCUCUCCUGAAUCACGAAUUUGAAAAAUGGGACAAAAAUCCGAUUGAAGCCCUGCAUGCUGAGUUCUGUAAGAGUCUCCUCAGAGUCCAGAGGAACACUACGAACAACGCAUGCAGGGCAGAAUUAGGCCAAUACCCUCUACUAAUGCACAUUGAAAAACGAGCCAUCAAAUUUUGGAAACACCUAAAAAUGAGCGACCCCAACUCUUACCAUUUUAAAGCCCUUAAAAACCAUGAAGUGAACCCUGAAAAAAGUCCCCUGAUUCAGAUGAUCCUGAAGCUGCAGAAGCAAACUAACACGACUAACAACAGCCAGCAUCAGGACUCUGAAAUAUCCAUCCACACAAUUUGGCCCAACCAAAUAAUAAAAGCACAAAAAGAAAAUUAUCUAACUUAUUGGACUGAAACAACAGAAAAACAAAGUAAACUUGAAUGUUAUUUGGCCCUAAAUAGAGAUUACACAACUGCAGAAUAUCUGAGUACAGUUAAAGACUGUAAAUUAAGAAGACAGAUGACGAGGUACAGACUGAGCAGUCAUACUCUGACUAUAGAGACGGGCAGAUAUCGACAGCACUGGCUGCCCAGAGAGAGCCGUAUCUGCCCUUACUGUAAUCAUGGGGAAGUGGAGACAGAGCAACACUUCCUCACCAGCUGCUCUAACUAUCAACACAUUACAAAGACAUUUCAUCCCAGAUUUGAAACACUUUACCCUGACUUCAAAAUGUUAAACAAGAAAACACAACUUCAAUAUUUAUUAGGUGAAAAACAAGACUGUAUCUUACUAGCAGCAAGAUACACUGAUGCCUGUCACAAAAAGAGGGAGGAGUCAACAAAUCAGUGA
ensembl:lncRNA